rnacentral:snRNA from 1 species
AUCGCUUCUCGGCCUUUUGGCUAAGAUCAAGUGUAGUACCGUGGUUUUUUUUGCCGGGGGUAUAAGAGAGCUCUUCUACAGCAUAGCCCUUUUAAGGGCUUUCUACAUCAUUCUCAACCCGCC